rnacentral:piRNA from 10 species
CUGGGUCGGGGUUUCGUACGUAGC